rnacentral:rRNA from 1 species
UUGUGAGGUUAAGCGACUAAGCGUACACGGUGGAUGCCCUGGCAGUCAGAGGCGAUGAAGGACGUGCUAAUCUGCGAUAAGCGUCGGUGAGGUGAUAUGAACCGUUAUAACCGGCGAUUUCCGAAUGGGGAAACCCAGUGUGUUUCGACACACUAUCAUUAACUGAAUCCAUAGGUUAAUGAGGCGAACCGGGGGAACUGAAACAUCUAAGUACCCCGAGGAAAAGAAAUCAACCGAGAUUCCCCCAGUAGCGGCGAGCGAACGGGGAGGAGCCCAGAGCCUGAAUCAGUGUGUGUGUUAGUGGAAGCGUCUGGAAAGGCGCGCGAUACAGGGUGACAGCCCCGUACACAAAAAUGCACAUACUGUGAGCUCGAUGAGUAGGGCGGGACACGUGGUAUCCUGUCUGAAUAUGGGGGGACCAUCCUCCAAGGCUAAAUACUCCUGACUGACCGAUAGUGAACCAGUACCGUGAGGGAAAGGCGAAAAGAACCCCGGCGAGGGGAGUGAAAAAGAACCUGAAACCGUGUACGUACAAGCAGUGGGAGCCUCUUAAUGGGGUGACUGCGUACCUUUUGUAUAAUGGGUCAGCGACUUAUAUUCUGUAGCAAGGUUAACCGAAUAGGGGAGCCGAAGGGAAACCGAGUCUUAACUGGGCGUUAAGUUGCAGGGUAUAGACCCGAAACCCGGUGAUCUAGCCAUGGGCAGGUUGAAGGUUGGGUAACACUAACUGGAGGACCGAACCGACUAAUGUUGAAAAAUUAGCGGAUGACUUGUGGCUGGGGGUGAAAGGCCAAUCAAACCGGGAGAUAGCUGGUUCUCCCCGAAAGCUAUUUAGGUAGCGCCUCGUGAAUUCAUCUCCGGGGGUAGAGCACUGUUUCGGCAAGGGGGUCAUCCCGACUUACCAACCCGAUGCAAACUGCGAAUACCGGAGAAUGUUAUCACGGGAGACACACGGCGGGUGCUAACGUCCGUCGUGAAGAGGGAAACAACCCAGACCGCCAGCUAAGGUCCCAAAGUCAUGGUUAAGUGGGAAACGAUGUGGGAAGGCCCAGACAGCCAGGAUGUUGGCUUAGAAGCAGCCAUCAUUUAAAGAAAGCGUAAUAGCUCACUGGUCGAGUCGGCCUGCGCGGAAGAUGUAACGGGGCUAAACCAUGCACCGAAGCUGCGGCAGCGACACUAUGUGUUGUUGGGUAGGGGAGCGUUCUGUAAGCCUGUGAAGGUGGCCUGUGAGGGUUGCUGGAGGUAUCAGAAGUGCGAAUGCUGACAUAAGUAACGAUAAAGCGGGUGAAAAGCCCGCUCGCCGGAAGACCAAGGGUUCCUGUCCAACGUUAAUCGGGGCAGGGUGAGUCGACCCCUAAGGCGAGGCCGAAAGGCGUAGUCGAUGGGAAACAGGUUAAUAUUCCUGUACUUGGUGUUACUGCGAAGGGGGGACGGAGAAGGCUAUGUUGGCCGGGCGACGGUUGUCCCGGUUUAAGCGUGUAGGCUGGUUUUCCAGGCAAAUCCGGAAAACCAAGGCUGAGGCGUGAUGACGAGGCACUACGGUGCUGAAGCGACAAAUGCCCUGCUUCCAGGAAAAGCCUCUAAGCAUCAGGUAACAUCAAAUCGUACCCCAAACCGACACAGGUGGUCAGGUAGAGAAUACCAAGGCGCUUGAGAGAACUCGGGUGAAGGAACUAGGCAAAAUGGUGCCGUAACUUCGGGAGAAGGCACGCUGAUAUGUAGGUGAAGCGACUUGCUCGUGGAGCUGAAAUCAGUCGAAGAUACCAGCUGGCUGCAACUGUUUAUUAAAAACACAGCACUGUGCAAACACGAAAGUGGACGUAUACGGUGUGACGCCUGCCCGGUGCCGGAAG